rnacentral:lncRNA from 1 species
GUCAUUCUUUCCAACACUUGUCACUCUCUGAUUUUUUGGUAGUAGCCAUCCUAGUGGGUGUGAAGCAGGCUUCUCAUGUGGCUUUGAUUUGCAGGUGUUGGAUUUUCUUCUAAGAACAAUAGGGACAUUCAGAGGAUUGGAGGUUGUGCCAACUUCCUCACCAUGGGCAGAUUUGGAGAAAGAGUAACACCAGUGUCUCUGAUGUCACCACUCAGCCCAGGCAACCUGCUGGGGAAUAUUGUAUAUUUAGGGCAGAGAUUCUUUGCCGGGAUUUCGAGACAUAGGGAUCAAGAUGCCACAUCAAGAGGCUAUGUGACCUUUGACAGAAACCCAUUCCUGAUUUGGCCCAGAUGUCAAACCUUCUCCAGGCACUGGCUGGAAGAGACCCCCGGGCCUGCGCAGGGUGCCAGCCACUCUCUAAAGAAUACUUGCUGGAUCUCCCCAGGGAUUCUGGUGAGGAAGGCCAAGGAUUUGUUCUUUGAAUGACCUCUCCCUCCUCGGAAAAGGGCACAACGAAGGAAAGUGAAUGAAGUGCUUGAGGUAUUCCCACAAGAGGAUCACACAAACAAAGGCAUCAAGGAACCACCAGACACGGACCAAGUAAGGAACAUUUUGUCCCAGCCCUUCUGUACGUUCCCUCUAUCAGCUAAUCCCACUACAGCGCUCCUGUGGUGGCUCCUGUCAAGUUAAAAGUGAGAUAUUCCAAACAUAUGAUGUUCAAGGGUUGGGGCUGUGUCUUCUCCUGAGUAGUGUGCCUUCCAGCAUUUCUCAAAACAUGAUCUGAAGACCCUUCUGUACCAGAAAUC